rfam:Streptomyces sp. Mg1, complete genome.
CUUGAUCGACCCGAGCAGCAGGGGCUGCUCCUCGGCGCGCUCCUGGCCGUAGGUGGCGAGCAGUGCCUGCGCCUC